CGCGUAGAAGAGAAGAGGCACUUCUUCCUCCUCGCCGGCUUCCCCUCGCGUGUCGCAAGUGCUUUACCCUACACCGUGGCCCGUGGAUCGUCGCCGGACGCCAGGCAUCGGCAAGCGGCAGCGCAGCCGUCCACCCUGAGUCCCUGAUUUUGCCAAGCAUCUUCACGUUUGCAGCGUUUCGGCCGCUUAAGCGCAGUGUAUGUCUUUGCAAGAAAGAUGAUGAUGUCAGCUCGAUCGGAACAGAUUAACUGCUGCUGCAAUAACCCACUCAGAGCACCUACAUCUGCUACUGCAGAAAACAGACAGCGGAGCAAGCCACACGGAAAUGAGCAACAAAGAAUGGUUUUGAAAUUUCAGUAUGGUACAGAAGCAUGGUGGACAGCACCAGCACAGCAUGUGGCCGUGAAAUAGAAGCAGCAAGUUACAGAUACUCUUUAUACAGGUACAUGUGCAUACACCAACCGUGGCCCAGACACUUCUGUCCAGGCGGGCACUGUUUGUUCAGUGUUAUCCGUGUCGGAUUAUUCUGCCACUAUGAGCAGGCCUUUCCUCCGAAGAGUUUCACAUGUGUUGGAGAUGCUACUCUAAAAUCAUCAUCUCCAGGUAUGGGGGAGAAGUGAAAAAGUAUCAUCUCGACUCCCACAACAAGGUCUCAAAGAAUAAUUUACACGUAUUUUGGUCCUGCAGAAUCAGAGGAAGUUCAGUAGGUGCGAAGCCACAAGGCAAAUAAUAAUUUGUUUGGUAUUGCAAUCGAGGGAGCAGGAUGCGUAUCCUUUUAUUUACC